AUGAACGCUAGCUACAGGCUUAACACAUGCAAGUCGAGGGGCAGCAUGAACUUAGCUUGCUAAGUUUGAUGGCGACCGGCGCACGGGUGAGUAACACGUAUCCAACCUGCCGAUGACUCGGGGAUAGCCUUUCGAAAGAAAGAUUAAUACCCGAUGGCAUAGUUCUUCCGCAUGGUAGAACUAUUAAAGAAUUUCGGUCAUCGAUGGGGAUGCGUUCCAUUAGGUUGUUGGCGGGGUAACGGCCCACCAAGCCUUCGAUGGAUAGGGGUUCUGAGAGGAAGGUCCCCCACAUUGGAACUGAGACACGGUCCAAACUCCUACGGGAGGCAGCAGUGAGGAAUAUUGGUCAAUGGACGAGAGUCUGAACCAGCCAAGUAGCGUGAAGGAUGACUGCCCUAUGGGUUGUAAACUUCUUUUAUACGGGAAUAAAGUGAGGCACGUGUGCCUUUUUGUAUGUACCGUAUGAAUAAGGAUCGGCUAACUCCGUGCCAGCAGCCGCGGUAAUACGGAGGAUCCGAGCGUUAUCCGGAUUUAUUGGGUUUAAAGGGAGCGUAGGCGGACGCUUAAGUCAGUUGUGAAAGUUUGCGGCUCAACCGUAAAAUUGCAGUUGAUACUGGGUGUCUUGAGUACAGUAGAGGCAGGCGGAAUUCGUGGUGUAGCGGUGAAAUGCUUAGAUAUCACGAAGAACUCCGAUUGCGAAGGCAGCCUGCUGGACUGUAACUGACGCUGAUGCUCGAAAGUGUGGGUAUCAAACAGGAUUAGAUACCCUGGUAGUCCACGCCGUAAACGAUGAAUACUAGGUGUUGGGUUCCAAAGGAACUUGGUGCCGUCGCAAACGCAUUAAGUAUUCCACCUGGGGAGUACGCCGGCAACGGUGAAACUCAAAGGAAUUGACGGGGGCCCGCACAAGCGGAGGAACAUGUGGUUUAAUUCGAUGAUACGCGAGGAACCUUACCCGGGCUUGAAUUGCAACUGAAUGAUGUGGAGACAUGUCAGCCGCAAGGCAGUUGUGAAGGUGCUGCAUGGUUGUCGUCAGCUCGUGCCGUGAGGUGUCGGCUUAAGUGCCAUAACGAGCGCAACCCUUAUCGAUAGUUACCAUCAGGUUAUGCUGGGGACUCUGUCGAGACUGCCGUCGUAAGAUGUGAGGAAGGUGGGGAUGACGUCAAAUCAGCACGGCCCUUACGUCCGGGGCUACACACGUGUUACAAUGGGGGGUACAGAAGGCAGCUACACGGCGACGUGAUGCUAAUCCCGAAAGCCUCUCUCAGUUCGGAUUGGAGUCUGCAACCCGACUCCAUGAAGCUGGAUUCGCUAGUAAUCGCGCAUCAGCCACGGCGCGGUGAAUACGUUCCCGGGCCUUGUACACACCGCCCGUCAAGCCAUGAAAGCCGGGGGUACCUGAAGUGCGUAACCGCAAGGAGCGCCCUAGGGUAAAACUGGUGAUUGGGGCU
rnacentral:rRNA from 1 species